UACGUAGGUGGCAAGCGUUGUCCGGAAUUAUUGGGUGUAAAGCGCGCGCAGGCGGUUUCUUAAGUCUGAUGUGAAAGCCCCCGGCUCAACCGGGGAGGGUCAUUGGAAACUGGGAAACUUGAGUGCAGGAGAGAAGAGCGGAAUUCCACGUGUAGCGGUGAAAUGCGUAGAGAUGUGGAGGAACACCAGUGGCGAAGGCGGCUCUUUGGCCUGUAACUGACGCUGAGGCGCGAAAGCGUGGGGAGCAAACAGG
rnacentral:rRNA from 1 species